rnacentral:lncRNA from 10 species
UUUUCCAUUCAUGCCAGUGGCAUCUAUGAUGUGUGAGAGAAGAAACUGUCCCUGGAAUUGUUCUGUAUCUUGAGGAAGCUCCCUGUGUCUACCCCAGAAAGCAGGAGCAAGGCUUGCCUCUUUAUUAUUUCACCAAAGCAGAGAACCAUUCACUGGUACAGAGUUGUGUUCACUUUCCACUCAGAGAGAGAGAGACAAUUAAGAAAAGGGAUUUGCAUGAGGGAUGUCAAUGAUCUGUUUCUUAUUGUCAGCUUCUGUACCUUUUUCUCUCUUUUUCCAGUGCUUUUUUAAUGCCAUAUGUAGGCAAAUUACAAAUAAACAAAACCAAGAAGAAAAAUGUAAGCUGUGGGCUGAUGACAUUGCUUAGCAAAAAAUGAGUCUCACACACAGGCGGCUGCACUCCAGAUUUCAAUUUAAUUCACUUUCCACAAGCAACAAGAGCAAGAAUAAUAUGCUUCAAUGUAGGGAGAUCAGAGAAGAGAAGCUUCACUGCAUUUUGAGACCGAGAAUGACUGAAUGAGGUGGCAGUGGUGGCAGCCGCUGCUCAUCACAAGAUGGAGAAAGGCUGGAAAAUGAAAUGGAAGUUGAAAGUGGUUGUUGUGAGUCAGGCUCCGACUAUGGUGACCUGUCUUGCUGUGAGAAUACACAUGGAAACCAGCCUUCCACAGAGCCAAACAUAGACAUGUCUGUAAUCUCUGGACACUAAGAAAUAAGCUUCUUACAGACAGAAUCUGGAAAGAUGUCUGCCAAGAGUGGGGAUGCAGGGACUAGAAAACAAAAGCAAAGCCCAUCUUUCACUGGAGCAUGUCUGCACAAACAUUCUGCUGACUGACGAUAGACAUACAAGUUGUGAAUACACUUAAAAUGUAUGAGUGUGAAAAGUGUCUACAUACAAUUAUUAUCUAUUAUUUACUUGUUAUUUAUUUAUUAUUUACUGAAAUCCUACUUUGUCAGGCAUCAGGCUAAGUGCCUUAUUACAUUAUGUGAUUCAUUCUCCAUAAUAACCAUUUGAUGUAGAAGCUAUCAUUUUCACAAUUUUUCAUAUGGGGAAACCAAGGCCUAGAAAAGAAAAGUUCUUCCUUGGCAAGUAACCAUUUUUAAAGAGAAAAGAAUUUUAUCCCAGAAGAAAACAUUUUAUCUCUGUUCAUGUGAAUGAAAUAUACACAUAUAUUUAUAUUUACAUCAAAGGUCUAAUUAAAAUUCAGUAGUGAAACAAAACACCAU